rnacentral:rRNA from 1 species
CACGUAGGGGCCAAGCGUUGUCCGGAUUUAUUGGGCGUAAAGAGCUCGUAGGCGGCUCAGUAAGUCAGGUGUGAAAACUCCAGGCUCAACCUGGAGACGCCACCUGAUACUGCUGUGGCUAGAGUCCGGUAGGGGAGCAUGGAAUUCCUGGUGUAGCGGUGAAAUGCGCAGAUAUCAGGAGGAACACCGGUGGCGAAGGCGGGUCUCUGGGCAACAACUGACGCUGAGGAGCGAAAGCGUGGGGAGCGAACAGG